UACAGAGGUCUCAAACGUUGUUCGGAAUCACUGGGCUUAAAGGGCGCGUAGGCGGGCAAGCAAGUCGAAGGUGAAAUCCCACGGCUCAACCGUGAAAGUGCCCCCGAUACUGCUUGUCUUGAGGGAGAUAGGGGCGUGCGGAACUUCCGGUGGAGCGGUGAAAUGCGUAGAUAUCGGAAGGAACACCGGUGGCGAAAGCGGCGCGCUGGAUCUCUUCUGACGCUGAGGCGCGAAAGCCAGGGGAGCAAACGGG
rnacentral:rRNA from 1 species